CAGUGGAACAACAAAGCCUGGACGAUAGCACAUCUGUUUACAGCAUGGUUUACUGAAUAUUUAAAGCCCACUAUUUAGACCUACUGCAGAAGAAAAAAGAUUUCUGCUUUCAAAAUAUCACUGCUCUAGUAAAUACCCCAAAACUUAGUGACUGAAAACAAUAGUAAUCAUUUAUUCUCUCUUAUGUUUCUGUGGGUCAGGAAUCUAUGUGGUAAUGCUUGUCCAGGAGUUGCCAGUGUGUCUUUACUAAUCAUGGUUGCACCUGGCACUCACAAAACCUCCUGGAGGUACACAUAU
rnacentral:lncRNA from 1 species